rnacentral:rRNA from 1 species
AGUGAACGCUGGCGGCAGGCCUAACACAUGCAAGUCGAGCGGCAGCGCGGGGGCAACCCUGGCGGCGAGCGGCGGACGGGUGAGGAAUUCGUCGGAAUCUGCCUUUUUGUGGGGGAUAACGUAGGGAAACUUACGCUAAUACCGCAUACGUCCUACGGGAGAAAGUGGGGGACCGCAAGGCCUCACGCAGAAAGAUGAGCCGACGACCGAUUAGCUAGUUGGUGGGGUAAAGGCCCACCAAGGCGACGAUCGGUAGCUGAUCUGAGAGGAUGAUCAGCCACACUGGGACUGAGACACGGCCCAGACUCCUACGGGAGGCAGCAGUGGGGAAUAUUGGACAAUGGGCGCAAGCCUGAUCCAGCCAUGCCGCGUGUGUGAAGAAGGCCUUCGGGUUGUAAAGCACUUUUGUCCGGAAAGAAAUCCCUGGAGCUAAUACCUUCGGGGGAUGACGGUACCGGAAGAAUAAGCACCGGCUAACUUCGUG